rnacentral:rRNA from 1 species
GACGAACGCUGGCGGCGUGCUUAACACAUGCAAGUCGUACGGUAAGGCCCUUUCGGGGGUACACGAGUGGCGAACGGGUGCGUAACACGUGAGUAACCUGCCCACAACUUUGGGAUAACGCUAGGAAACUGGUGCUAAUACUGGAUAUGUGCUCCUGCUGCAUGGUGGGGGUUGGAAAGCUCCGGCGGUUGUGGAUGGACUCGCGGCCUAUCAGCUUGUUGGUGGGGUAGUGGCCUACCAAGGCGGCGACGGGUAGCCGGCCUGAGAGGGUGACCGGCCACAUUGGGACUGAGAUACGGCCCAGACUCCUACGGGAGGCAGCAGUGGGGAAUAUUGCACAAUGGGCGCAAGCCUGAUGCAGCAACGCCGCGUGCGGGAUGACGGCCUUCGGAUUGUAAACCGCUUUCAGCAGGGACGAAGCUUUUUGUGACGGUACCUGCAGAAGAAGCACCGGCUAACUACGUG